CAAACAGGGUCCUGGGUUAAGAUUAGAUCCGAUUCAAACAGGGUCCUGGGUUAAGAUUAGAUCAGAUUCAAACAGGGUCCUGGGUUAAGAUUAGAUCAGAUUCAAACAGGGUCCUGGGUUAAGAUUAGGUCAGAUUCAAACAGGGUCCUGGGUUAAGAUUAGAUCAGAUUCAAACAGGGUCCUGGCUUAAGCAGCACACCUACAUGUUCCACUUUUGCUGCUUUAAGAUUAGAUGAGAUUCAACUUUAUAGUCACUGUGCAGAAUAUGGGUACAAAGCCAAUGAAAUUAACAUCUAAGCAGAAAAUAAGGUAUUAUUUAUGUAAUCAUUAUGUAUCGUUAUGUAAAUGAUACAGGAAAAGUAAGUACUACACAUAAGUGAUGCGAUAUCUUACAAGAUGUACAGUGGAGAGUUACAAUAAGCCAUACUAGAUACUAAAUACAUAUACUGGACAGAGAAGUGGACAGAAUCGAGACUAUAGACACUGCAAGUGUACGCUUGUAGGUACAGUAUGAACAGCAUAUGUACAUUUGGUUAUGUACAUAGAAUAUAAACAAUAUAUGUACUGUAAUAUUAAUUGAACCGUGUAGGUGGUUCAGUCCGUGCGAAAUAUUCCUAGUGCAAAUAAACGGUUGACUACAGUACUGUAAACAGUGCAGUGAUGCUAUUGGAGUGGCGGUGUGGAGGUUAGCAGGGUCCCGUCCCAGCCACAGGGGAGAGGCUGUUCCUGAGCCUGCUGGUGUGGGAGCGGAAGCCCCUGUAAUACCUGCCAGAUGGGAGGAGGGUGAGAAGGUCAUGGUUAGGGCGGGAGGCCUCCUUGAUGUUUCUGGUCCUGCCCAGGCAGCGCUUGUGGUGAAUGUGCUUGAUGGUGGGGGACUGUGUGCGCCAGUGAUCCGUUGAGCUGCGUUCACCACCAGCUGCAAUGCUUUACAGUCUGAUGCAGAGCAGUUGCCGUGCCACACUGAGAUUGAGAUUUGAG
ensembl:lncRNA